GAUGAACGCUAGCGGCAGGCCUAAUACAUGCAAGUCAAGGGGCCAGCAAUGGCACCGGCGCACGGGUGCGUAACACGUACACAACAUACCUUUAAGUGGGAGAUAGCAUCGGGAAACUGGUGGUAAUACCCCAUAAUAUUGCGAUGCGGCAUCACAUUGCAAUUAAAAGUUUCGACGCUUAAAGAAUUGGUGUGCGUCCGAUUAGCUAGUUGGCGGGGUAACGGCCCACCAAGGCUACGAUCGGUAGGGGGUGGUGAGAGCAUGACCCCCACCAUGGGUACUGAGACACGGACCCAACUCCUAC
rnacentral:rRNA from 1 species